rnacentral:rRNA from 1 species
UACGAAGGGGGCUAGCGUUGCUCGGAAUCACUGGGCGUAAAGGGUGCGUAGGCGGGUCUUUUAAGUCAGGGGUGAAAUCCUGGAGCUCAACUCCAGAACUGCCUUUGAUACUGAGGAUCUUGAGUUCGGGAGAGGUGAGUGGAACUGCGAGUGUAGAGGUGAAAUUCGUAGAUAUUCGCAAGAACACCAGUGGCGAAGGCGGACUCACUGGUCCAUUACUGACGCUGAGGUGCGGAAAGCGUGGG